rnacentral:rRNA from 1 species
CACGUAGGCGGCUUCUUAAGUCAGGGGUGAAAUCCUGGAGCUCAACUCCAGAACUGCCUUUGAUACUGAGGAGCUGGAGUCCGGGAGAGGUGAGUGGAACUGCGAGUGUAGAGGUGAAAUUCGUAGAUAUUCGCAAGAACACCAGUGGCGAAGGCGGCUCACUGGCCCGGUACUGACGCUGAGGUGCGAAAGCGUGGGGAGUAAACA